CUUUGUUCUCGCUCGUGUUCAAGCAAUGGACAAGAUUUGCACAUGCCUCAGCUACGUCUUUCUCUCACUUGAUGGAUAUUGAGAUCAGGGGGAUCCCAGCGCACGCGUGGGGUCUGAACACAGCCAAGACACUUCUUCGUGGCUCCUGUCACAUCUUGGAGUUGCACCCCGCCUCUGCGUGCAAGUCAGAUCUCUCCUCACUCAAGCUUCGGGCAUGGUGUCUGGAUCCGAAGAAGCUUUGCAGGGAGAUGGAUCUCCACAUCAUUGAGCGAGAGCCAUUUAUUCAGGAGGCGAGAUGUCUGACCUACAAGAUUAGCAUUGCUGCUAGUCCGGCUCCCCUUCAGUUACCCUCGGACAGCAGUCUCUCUCCUUCAGAUGAGAAUGCGUUUCAUGGUGAGGAAGAUGGAGAUGUCCGGGGCCCGUCCAAUCCCCGGUUCCGACAACCACGCCCUUUGCAGCGUCAGCCUGUCCACCUUCGCCUCGGAUCACAUCAGGGCGUGGGCAGAGAACGGUCUGUGGCUGUGCAUGGAAAUAGGAUGGUGGCGCCGGUCCUAGCUCUGGAAGAUGGUGCUGCUGUCUGUGCUGGUGAUGGGCUACUGACCUCACCUGGACCUUCCUCGCCUCAGCACGGAUGUUUGG
rnacentral:misc_RNA from 1 species